AAUGAUCCAAUGUUUUCCCACGUUGAAACCAACAGUGAAAUGUAAUAUUGUAAAGUUUUUAGUUGUCAGUUUGUUGGUUUCUUCGGACGACAGUUGCUACUUUGUUAGCUUUAGCUGCUAGCCGGUGUCAGUGAGUGACAUUUAUCGCUAACAAAAUGUUUGGACCAAUCGUUCUAAAGACGCUUAAAAUUCAAAAUGUCAACGCAAGCACACAUAUUUACCUCUAUAUCACUGUUUUUGUUUUUAUUAAAGCCAUAUAACCACUACUACUAAACCACUCGGGCGCCCUGGAGAACUACAGUUGAUGAGAUUAUGUAACUGAGAUACGAGCGUCACAAGGAAGUCAUCAAGGUCAUGUUUAUCGUUUUUUUAUGUUAACUUUAUUGUAACUUGAAGUCUUUUGGAAAACACUCACUGCUGAGUCUCUCAUGACACUGUUUGCUUUUGCGUGAUACCGGUAUAAUAAACAAGUUCACACAG